CUCGCGUGGGAAGAUGGGAGAAGGAAGCCCUCCACGUAUACCCCUGGCUGAUUCGGAACAGCCUUCAUGCAUCUCUGCUGCCUUUUGACCAAUUAAGAUUCCAGAAUUCCAACAGAGGAGGAAAGAUGAUCUGGAGGCCAAUAGUCCAAGAUCAGGUUCCGGCAGGGUUUGGUGCCUGUUAAGGGCUCUCUUCCUGGCCUGUCAACAGUUGAGUCCUCAAGUUCUCACUGUACCCUCAGAAACACAUUCCCAGUGGGAGCAUGGAACCAACGACUCCGCACAUUCUGAAAAAGAAGCCAAACAGUGUCCUCACCCUCCAGCACCUCCCAUCUAUCCAUUCACCUAUUUUUCAGAGCCUGUUCUCAGCUAUCUCACUCACCACCACUGCGUUUGACCAAGCCAGUCACCACAUGUUGGCUUCUGAAGAAUGUGACUGCAAGUGACCGCCACUCUUCCCUCUAGCCCCUCACUCUUCCUCUCCCACACAUAACUUUCUUUUCAUGGAAUUUACAAAAACAUGUGACAAGCUGAUUCUAAAAAGCUGCUGGUGCCUCCUACAGAGUCCAUCAUAAAGAGUGGAAGAAACAGCCAAAGAAGCUACUGCCCAUUACUACUAAUAAA